GACGAACGCUGGCGGCGUGCUUAACACAUGCAAGUCGAACGGAAAGGCCCUGCUUUUGUGGGGUGCUCGAGUGGCGAACGGGUGUGUAACCCGUGAGUAACCUGCCCUUGACUUUGUGAUAACUUCAGGAAACUGGGGCUAAUACCGGAUAGGAGCUCCUGCUGCAUGGUGGGGUUUGGAAAGUUUCGGCGGUUGGGGAUGGACUCGCGGCUUAUCAGCUUGUUGGUGGGGUAGUGGCUUACCAAGGCUUUGACGGGUAGCCGGCCUGAGAGGGUGACCGGCCACAUUGGGACUGAGAGACGGACCAGACGGCUACGGGAGGCAGCAGUGGGGAAUAUUGCACAAUGGGCGGAAGCCUGAUGCAGAAACGCCGCGUGCGGGAUGACGGCCUUCGGGUUGUAAACCGCUUUCGCCUGUGACGAAGCGUGAGUGACGGUAAUGGGUAAAGAAGCACCGGCUAACUACGUG
rnacentral:rRNA from 1 species